UGGUGGAGGGAUGUCCAGGCCGCUCAGGAGCUGCGCCCCGCUCUGGCCAGGCCCAGGGAGUGGGGGGGGCCCCACAGGAGCCAGAGGGGAGGCCGCCAGGGCAGUUGUGAAGGGGCCUGUGGGGAAACCUGUGAGACAGCCCGUGAAGAGACUCACGAGAGCUUCUGUGCGGGGGCCCAGGAACGUGCCCCAGGUGGAACCCACAGGGCACCUGGGAAAAGACCCACGAAGGCGGUGCAGGGGCCGGGAAGAGGCCCUGGAGGGGCCCUCACAGGGAGCUGCGGUAGGGAGCUUGAUGAUGCAGGCCUGUGCAGCCCACAGGGAGGUGCGGGAGACGCGGCGGCGGCACGAGCGGCGCCUGGUGGAGGUGGACAGCAGCCGGCAGCAGGAGUACGACUUCAAGAUGGCACAGGCGCUGGAGGAGCUGCGGAGCCAGCACGACGAGCAAGUGCGGCUCUACAAGCUGGAGCUGGAGCAGACCUACCAGGCCA
rnacentral:lncRNA from 1 species